rnacentral:rRNA from 1 species
CAAGGGGGCAGCGUUGUUCGGAAUUACUGGGCGUAAAGGGCGCGUAGGCGGCUUAUCAAGUCAGGCGUGAAAUUCCCGGGCUCAACCUGGGGGCUGCGCUUGAUACUGAUUGGCUUGAAUGCGGGAGAGGAUAGUGGAAUUCCCAGUGUAGAGGUGAAAUUCGUAGAUAUUGGGAAGAACACCGGUGGCGAAGGCGGCUAUCUGGCCCGUAAUUGACGCUGAGGCGCGAAAGCGUGGGGGAGCAAACAGGAUUAGAUACCCUGGUAGUCCACGCCGUAAACGAUGAAUGCUAGACGUUGGCGAGCAUGCUCGUCAGUGUCGGAGCUAACGCAUUAAGCAUUCCGCCUGGGGAGUACGGUCGCAAGAUUA